GACGAACGCUGGCGGCGUGCCUAACACAUGCAAGUCGAGCGGGAUCCAUCCAGUGGCAACACUGGGGAAGAUCUAGCGGCGAACGGGUGAGUAACACGUGAGAAACUUGCCCCGGAGUUCGGGAUAACUCGAGGAAACUCGAGCUAAUACCGAAUGCCCUCUUCUGAUCGCAUGGUCGGAUGAGGAAAGAUUUAUCGCUCCGGGAGAGUCUCGCGGCCUAUCAGCUAGUUGGCGGGGUAACGGCCCACCAAGGCAUCGACGGGUAGCUGGUCUGAGAGGACGAUCAGCCACACUGGGACUGAGACACGGCCCAGACUCCUACGGGAGGCAGCAGUGGGGAAUCUUGCGCAAUGGGCGAAAGCCUGACGCAGCAACGCCGCGUGCGGGAUGAAGGCCUUCGGGUUGUAAACCGCUUUCAGCAGGGAAGAAAUUGACGGUACCUGCAGAAGAAGCCCCGGCCAACUACGUGCCAGCCGCCGCAGUAA
rnacentral:rRNA from 1 species